rnacentral:rRNA from 1 species
GACAGAGGAUGCAAGCGUUAUCCGGAAUGAUUGGGCGUAAAGCGUCUGUAGGUGGCUUUUUAAGUCCGCCGUCAAAUCCCAGGGCUCAACCCUGGACAGGCGGUGGAAACUACCAAGCUGGAGUACGGUAGGGGCAGAGGGAAUUUCCGGUGGAGCGGUGAAAUGCGUAGAUAUCAGGAGGAACACCGGUGGCGAAGGCGGGACUCUGGGCCGAUACUGACGCUGAGGAGCGAAAGCGUGGGGAGCGAACAGG